rnacentral:rRNA from 2 species
UACGAAGGGUGCUAGCGUUGUUCGGAAUGACUGGGCGUAAAGGGUGCGUAGGCGGCCAGAAGCGUCUGAUGUGAAAUCCCUGGGCUUAACCUAGGAACUGCAUUGGAUACGGUCUGGCUAGAGUCCGCGAGAGGAAGAUGGAAUUGUGCGUGUAGAGGUGAAAUUCGUAGAUAUGCACAAGAACACCGGUGGCGAAGGCGAUCUUCUGGAGCGGUACUGACGCUAAGGCACGAAAGUGUGGGGAGCAAACAGG